rnacentral:rRNA from 1 species
AGAGUUUGAUUCUGGCUCAGGAUGAACGCUAGCUACAGGCUUAACACAUGCAAGUCGAGGGGCAGCAUUGGAGUAGCAAUACUUCAGAUGGCGACCGGCGCACGGGUGAGUAACACGUAUCCAACCUGCCGCUUACUCGGGGAUAGCCUUUCGAAAGAAAGAUUAAUACCCGAUGGUAUAAAGAGUUCGCAUGUUCUCUUUAUUAAAGAAUUUCGGUAAGCGAUGGGGAUGCGUUCCAUUAGAUAGUUGGCGGGGUAACGGCCCACCAAGUCUACGAUGGAUAGGGGUUCUGAGAGGAAGGUCCCCCCACAUUGGAACUGAGACACGGUCCAAACUCCUACGGGAGGCAGCAGUGAGGAAUAUUGGUCAAUGGACGAGAGUCUGAACCAGCCAAGUAGCGUGAAGGAUGACUGCCCUAUGGGUUGUAAACUUCUUUUAUAAGGGAAUAAAGUGAGGGACGUGUCCCUUUUUGUAUGUACCUUAUGAAUAAGGAUCGGCUAACUCCGUGCCAGCAGCAGC